rnacentral:misc_RNA from 1 species
GAUGAAGAACGCAGCGAAAUGCGAUAAGUAAUGUGAAUUGCAGAAUUCAGUGAAUCAUCGAAUCUUUGAACGCACCUUGCGCCCUUUGGACAUUCCGAAGGGCAUGCCUGUUUGAGUAUCAUGAACACCUCAACUCUCACGGCUUGUCCGUGAUGAGCUUGGACUUUGGGGGUCUUGCCGGCCUGUGGUCGGCUCCUCUCAAAUGGAUCAGCUUGCCAGUGUUUGGUGGCAUCACAGGUGUGAUAACUAUCUGCGCUUGUGGUUUUCCAUCAGAUAACCUUCAGUGAGAUGGAGGUUCGCUGGAGCUCACAAAUGUCUCUCCUUAGUGAGGACAGCUCUUUGAACGUUUGAUCUCAAAUCAGGUAGGACUACCCGCUGAACUUAAGCAUAUCAAUAAGCGGAGGA